rnacentral:rRNA from 1 species
GAUAAACGCUGGCGGCGUGCAUAACACAUGCAAGUCGAACGAAGUGGCGAACGGGAGAGUAACACGUGAGUAACCUGCCUUACACAAGGGGAUAGCCUUUGGAAACGAAGAAUAAUACCCUAUAGUGUAAGAUGGACUUGCUUCUGAUUAGCUAGUUGGUGAGAUAAAGGCCCACCAAGGCAACGAUCAGUAGCCGGCUUGGGAGAGUGGACGGCCAGAUUAGGACUGGGACACGGCCCAAACUCUACGGGAGGCAGCAAUGGGGAAUUUGGCACAAUGGGGGAAACGCUGAUGCAGCGACGCCGCGUGAUUUAGAAGGCCUUCGAGUUGAAAAAAUCUUUUUUAUGGGAUGCAGUACCAAAAGAAUAAGGUCCGGCUAAAUACGUGCCAGCAGCCGCGGUAAUAC